rnacentral:rRNA from 1 species
GGGGGGGGGGGGGGGGGGGGGGGGGACGUGCAGGGCGAGCGGGGCGGUCGGGGCGGGGGGCGCGCGGGUGCGUAACGCGUGGGGACCUGCCCUUGGGUUCGGAAUAACUCCCCGAAAGGGGUGCUAAUACCGGAUAAUGUCUUCGGACCAACGAUUUAUCGCCUUUGGAUGGGCCCGCGUUGGAUUAGCUAGUUGGUAGGGUAAAAGCCUACCAAGGCGACGAUCCAUAGCUGGUCUGAGAGGAUGAUCAGCCACACUGGGACUGAGACACGGCCCAGACUCCUACGGGAGGCAGCAGUGGGGAAUAUUGGACAAUGGGCGAAAGCCUGAUCCAGCAAUGCCGCGUGAGUGAUGAAGGCCUUAGGGUUGUAAAGCUCUUUUACCCGGGAUGAUAAUGACAGUACCGGGAGAAUAAGCUCCGGCUAACUCCGUG